UUAAACGGAUAAGUAUUGUUA
rnacentral:piRNA from 1 species